rnacentral:rRNA from 1 species
UACGGAGGAUGCGAGCGUUAUCCGGAUUUAUUGGGUUUAAAGGGUGCGUAGGCGGGAUGCCAAGUCAGCGGUAAAAAUGCGGUGCUCAACGCCGUCGAGCCGUUGAAACUGGCGUUCUUGAGUGGGCGAGAAGUAUGCGGAAUGCGUGGUGUAGCGGUGAAAUGCUUAGAUAUCACGCAGAACUCCGAUUGCGAAGGCAGCAUACCGGCGCCCUACUGACGCUGAGGCACGAAAGCGUGGGUAUCGAACAGG